GCCCCGGUAGCCCAGCGGUAGAGGCAAUGGAUUCAAAACCCAUUCAGCGUCGGUUCGAAUCCGACCCGGGGUA
rnacentral:tRNA from 1 species